rnacentral:rRNA from 1 species
GACGAACGCUGGCGGCGUGCUUAACACAUGCAAGUCGAACGGAAAGGCCCUGCUUUUGUGGGGUGCUCGAGUGGCGAACGGGUGAGUAACACGUGAGUAACCUGCCCUUGACUUUGGGAUAACUUCAGGAAACUGGGGCUAAUACCGGAUAGGAGCUCCUGCUGCAUGGUGGGGGUUGGAAAGUUUCGGCGGUUGGGGAUGGACUCGCGGCUUAUCAGCUUGUUGGUGGGGUAGUGGCUUACCAAGGCUUUGACGGGUAGCCGGCCUGAGAGGGUGACCGGCCAAAUUGGGAAUGAGAUACGGCCCAGACUCCUACGGGAGGCAGGAGUGGGGAAUAUUGCACAAUGGGCGGAAGCCUUAUGCAGCAACGCCGUGUGCGGGAUGACGGCCUUCGGGUUGGAAACCGCUUUCGCCUGUGACGAAGCGUGAGUGACGGUAAUGGGUAAAGAAGCACCGGCUAACUACGUG